rnacentral:lncRNA from 1 species
UCAAGUCCAUAUGUUACGAUUUAACCCUCAAUGUCUAGAAAUUUAACAUUUAACACCCCCAGGUGUGCACCACGCUAAUUUAAUACAAAUUUAGGGUUAAAAUAAAAACUUUAAAAAUACAUCUUGGAGUUUUAGAGUUUAUUAUUUAUUUGUUUAUUUAUUUAUAUAUAUGUUAUUUUAUUUUACUUAAUUUUAUUUUAAACGGAAUGUUACACGAGAUCUCAUCAGCUUUUUUCAGUUGUGAGGUGAGUCUUCCUCACUAUAGUUACGUGUGACAACCCGAAAUUUCCAUUCUGAACAAACCAUAUCAAUCCAAUAGAGCUUAGAACAGUUUCAGUGAAAUUCCAAACUUCAGGUAUAAGCUUGGCAGUUUUUUAGGAUUUACACUUAAGGAGAUAUCAGGAGAGUGGUUGCGCUAGGGUUUUGUGCAACACUGUUAUUCCAGCACUCUGUUAUAUUAGAAAUCAUUUCAGAAUAAAAAUAUUUUCUGCCAAAAAUAUCUCAGGACUAUAAAUAUAAUUCUGAACAAAAUUCAUUCAUUAUUCGCAUUUCCAACUAGAGAAAAGCCAUUUUCUCUCUCACAGAUCUUCGGGUUUUUAUCCCCAAUCGUGAGUACACUUCUCUAGUUGUCUUAUAAUGCUUAUUAUGUGCUUAACAACUUAGAUUACAUAUCAAAUCUGUGAGAUUCGGGAGUUUACCGCCCAAGAACGUUCUUGGAGAGUAAACUCCUAUAUAUGGCUUAAAUGCUACCUAGUCUUUUCCCCAUGUUAGGUAACGGACAUAGGCUUGUAUAUAAGUGUGUUUGAGACUAGAAAACAAACAAAACCCUAAGAUUCGGGAGUUUACCGCCCAACAACACUUGGGGAGUAAACUCCAUGUUAAGUGCUAAAGGUGUCCCAAAGUCCCUCAAAGCCAUGGAAGUCGAACUAGAGCCCACCAUUGCAUGUUUAGGACACCAAAACAAUUAAGAUUCAAGGGGUGAAAGAGAGUUCAUGGCCAAGGAGGUUCUUGGGCCGUGAACUCCAUGUUUAAGUUCCAUAUUGCUUUAAAAAUCCUCCUUAAGCCAAGAUACUAAUUUGGGCAUGUACCUAGAUGAGUUAUUGACUAGCUAACAUACUUAGAACACCAAGAGUAAGGUGUUCACGGCCUAAAAGGUUCUAGGCCCGUGAACGCCAUAAAAUGGUGCCAAAAGGUGCCAUAAACUCUUCUUAAGCCUUGUAUAAUAGCCUAGUUUAGUUCCUACUUAAUUUAGGGACUUGAAAACACCAUAAACAUCCUCCCAAGGGAGAUUACAGCCGUAAUCUCCAAGGGAAUAUGGUCCCAGGGCCGUAAACUCCUAAAAGGAGCUAUAUUAUGCCCUAAACUCUUCCAUAGACCAAGCCAUUAAGUAAAAAUGCUUAUUUGGGCCUUAUAGAGCAUCAAACAUGAAAUGGUCACAUAAGUAUGAGUUCACGGCCAUAAAAUCAUGAGUUUACGGCCGUAAACUCAUUUGGUAGUGUUAUUAGGGCCGUGAACUUCAUGGUGGAGUUUUCCUUGAGCCCUACACACAAUAGCUUCCCCUACAAACACUUAGAUGCAAUCCUAGAGGCUAAUAACACUUGAUAAAGGUGUUUAGCAUGUCCUAGGGUGUCUUGACUUGUUUAUUAGUUGUUUAUAGACUAAUUUGUUACAUAUAUGUGAAAUUAUAUGUUAACUAGGAUCGUAAGUGUGUUCAUGACUUCACUUGACACCUAGCAGUCCUUCCUCUUCAGUUCAUCCGUAUCACCCAGAACAAGUGAGUUCAUACCCCUAAUCAAUGUUUUAAAUGAUUUUAAAUGCUUUAAUGGGGGGGGGAUACAAGUAGAAAACAUCAUGUUAUUAAAUCAUCUCUAUGUAUUUUAUAACUAUGUUUCCAUUCAACAAAUUUCACAUACUACAAUAUGUGAUGCAUGAAAUGGUUUUCUAUCUUUAAAAUACUUUGUUAUCAAAUGUAUUACUUAUGAAAUGAUUAUCAAAAUGACAUCAAGUCACUUCUAUAUUUGUUUAAAACCCUUAAAUGUCUUACAAAACCAUUUUACAUUCUUGAACUAAACUAUGCAUAUACACUUAUAAUCUUAUAUAUGUAUUGUUGUUAUAGUUUACAUCUUUCAUUUAGUUUGCCACACCCUUGAGUAGUAAGAGUGUGUAAACCUACUUGAACAACCAAUUACCUUUCAGUAAAUUAUCAUAGGGAUAAUUUAAAGAUAUCAAACAUUAUUCCUAUUAUAAGGAAUCACACAAGAGUCAGUUCAUUCAUGAGUCCACACCAGUACAUUACCUGAUACAUGAGUACAUUUACAUAUGCUUACUUGAUACAUGAACAUGUUUACAUAUACUUACAUGAUACAUGAACACACUUACAUGAAUACCAUACAUGAACACUAUUACAUAGAUAUAUUAUCCUGUAUUCACUUACCUGGAUACUAGUAUCUCAACUUGUGAGGAUGAUUUUUUAGUAUUUUCUGUAUAAAUUAUCUUUCCUAUCCCGGUUCAAUGGGAUAUCUUGGCGGGACUAACUAUUCCGAAUCCCAUCUGAUUAACACCAGUGGUAGAUGACCAUCUAUGGAGGUCUAAGGUUAUCAGUUAUACUAGGAAGAUUUAUUUGUACCUUCUGUGUAAAUUUUCCUACCUAUCCCUGUUCGACGGGAUGUCUAGACGGGACUAACCCUUCCGGAACCCAGCUGUUAGCAACACUGGGUGAUGAACAUCUACGGAUGUCUAAGGUUGUUACUGAUAUUAGGAGUCAGUUACGGAACUAAGCAUUCCUCCAUUCUACUGUUGCAACAGAGGAUGAGAUGAAAGUCUUCGGAUGAUUAUUAGGUUAACGCUGAUACGGGACUAUGUUGGGUUUUGAGCAAUCUAACACUUCCUAAGUGUGCAUGCAACCCUAAUAAACCUUGGAUCUAUGUUUGUCUAAUACAUGCAAAAUAAUAAUUUUUCCAAGGUUCAUAACCUAUCUAACAUGGCAUGGGGUACUUUUAAACAUAAAAGAAUUAGAUGAGAUUACAUACCUUUUGAUGAUGAGUUUGAUUCCUAAGGAGUUUGAGGGCCAAGCACCAAUAGUGUGAAUGCCUCAAAUGGAAUCACAAAUCACCACAAACUCUUGGAAAACUUUGAGAGAGUAUACACACUUGUAUAUUUCGGCCACACACAAGCUCACACACACUAGUUCACUAGUUGCCAUUUCAUGCUCCAUAAGCAUGCUUAUAUAGUGUGCAUGGUUAGGGUGAAACCCUAAUAACCCAUGACCUUUCCUUUUCCAAGGAUCCAUGGGUUAAAAGCUCCAUGGAUCAUCCAUGGACUUCCAUAUAAGCCUAGCCCAUUAACAAAUGAGUGUUAGCCCACACCAUAUAAAACAAUAGCCCACAAUUUAAUUAGUCUUCCUUUUAAUCUCUAAAUUAAUUCAUAAUUAAUUUAAGACUAACACUAAUUAAAUAACUUCAUAUUAAUAUAUUAUAACUUACAAUAUAUUAAUAAACAUAUGUGUAUAACUCUCAUAAAAUUAUCCAUAAAUAGUUUGGAUGAAAUGCAACCCAAAUGGACCAUGCCGGGUCGGGUCAAGUAUAUACCAAAUAAGUUAUGGACUUAGACACCUUAUCCAACAGACUCCCACUUGGAUAAGUCUAAUAACUGUAUUUGCGUAUGUUACUUCAGGAACCAACCAGCAAUCGUAGCUCUCGAAAACUCUGUUGAACUAUGAAGCGCCAUUUUAGAUAAGUGAUCAUAUAAUCCUCUGUUCUCAUGAUAUCAGCCGGACAAAUACAUGGAACAACGUCGUACUUAUUGUCCAGCAGUUUGUUUCCCGAUUUUCGAUUUGUUUGACAAAGAACUUAAUCGAACACAUCAAUUUAGUUCUGACCGGCCGGUACAUAGGUCACAACAAAAUCAUCGAGGGGCCCAGAUAUCGCUUCUAUUUCUAGAAGGAACAGAUAAACUUCGACUCAUAUGCUUGUUCUACUACUUGUUGAAUUGUACACAAAGGCACGUUUUAUAACAUCAAGUUACUGAUGCGUUUACGUGCAAUCAAUGCACAACCAACUCAUAGGUAACAACUCAUAUCUCUAGGUUUGAAGAUUUAUAUGAUAUUACCGUCUCACGAUCACUCGAGAUAAAUUCCAUGAAGUGAUACAAGUGAGCGUGGGUUUAUUCCAAUACUCAUAACUUAUGAGCACUCAUGAAUGUUGUAGCAACCAUUGCUAUGACUAAACCCAUUUAGCCAUCUACAAACUCGAUUCAUGACAGUCUUGAUUCAUACCUACUUCCAACAUAUGAACGACUGUGGAGUGUUUAAAUAACUUAGUCAUUCGGAAAGAAUAACCUAGCUAUUUUGGAAGUCAAAACAUGCAAAGUGAAACACAAUAAUAAUCGAAUCCAAUAUGGUCUCAGAACCCUUUUGAAUAUAAAUAGAACCACCUUUUAUUUAUCACCAUAUUGAUUACACAUUAUUCAUUGUAUAAUGUUUCAAACAAUCAACUUAAGACUUGAAUAAAAACAACAGUCGUCCCAUGCUCCUAGCAUGUACACUUUGUUUUUCUAAACAAUAGUUAUGCCAUACUCCAAGUAUGCACACUAUGUUUGUCUAUGAUCCUUACAUUGUGAUGUAGAUCAAUUGAACAUGAUUCCAAUGAUACUCAUUUCACAAUCCCAAAUCCUUAUUGUAAAUGUGAGAAUCCCCGAUUCCUAUCAUUUACCAAAAAAACUGUUAGAUUUUAAACUUUUAUGCAAUGUUCCUCUUGUAAUGAUUAUGCACAAAGUCACCAAAACCUUGUCACCAGUCAUUACAGAGUAUUCCAAAGAAGGUCAACUUCUAUGGAACGGAAGUCUCAUAUUCAAAGUACAUUGCUUUGAACAUCCUUCUUGCAUUAAGGUUUUCUAAUCUUACAUAGAUUGAAUAACUUCCACCUAUGGAGACAUUUCCAUAGUCCCAUUUUGACUAUCACUUCCGAACAAGAGUUACUUCUUUUCAGAAUAUGUCAAUAUGGUCCUUUCCGACAACUUACAUCAUACUUCCAACUUUCCCUGAGCAACCAAUCUUUGGCGAACCUCAGAUUGUCCUCGACAAUUGCUUAAUCACUUUAGUCAUAUCCAGUUCUAGACUUUUCCCUUCUCAAUGCCUUAAGCAUUUGGAAAAUUUAGAAAAGAUGAAUAUUAUAGCACAUGCAAUCGAUCCUAUAUCCGAAGCAUAUGGGACACGAUUCAUGAUGUUUGACAUAAAGACAUGAUACUAGACCAGUCUUUUGCUACAAUAUUUUUUAUUUGCCAUGUUUUCAAAAUUUAACUAUGAAGAGGGAUGCCGUAAUCAUAAUCGAAUUUUGAAAACGCAAUAUAUAUAGAAUUUCUUCAAGUUGAACCAUUCCAACAUAAAAUUCAUAUAUAUAUUCUUGACUAAAGAUGAUUAAAAUCUCAAUCUAAGCUUUAGAAUUGAAAUGAAGUAUAAUUUCCUCUCCCUUAAUUAUAGCAAAACAACUUUUCAACCCCUGCAACUUCACGAAUUGAAACUUUGUUUUCUAUAAUUAACAUUGCUAACUUGCAACACUAAACGUAAUAAUCAUGCUCCCACUAACAUGAUGAUUAUCAGCAUAACACUUAUGCUCCCACUAGCUCUGACAUAUUUCCAGAAAUCUGCUGGACUUCUGAAAUUUAGAUUCAUACACCCUUUCUUAGAUAGCUCACAUGUGUGUCUAAACAAUUUUCAGAACUAUGAAAAGGGAUGCCGUAAUCAUAGUCUCAAUUGCUUAGGCAUUUGCCAUUUCUCACAAGUCCAUGUUAGUGUGCCGGUUAACCACACGCGCUCCACUAACGACUUUUGAAAAUGCAAAUAACACAAUUGAUAUCUACGUAAAAUCUACUUAGUGAAAGCGUUUCCUCACCAUCAUUUUCAUGAAUCGGAGAGAAACCUUAUGACACUUAGAUUUUAUAGUGUAUGAGUUCCUAUCCAUGUGAAUUUGUCAAAACCAUAAUCACAAGAUAAGGUUAGUGACAAAUUCAGCCUUACAUGGAUUAAACUUGUUCAAUCUUAGUUUCUUGUCACCUUGGUAGCACAAGGCCCACCAAUGCUUCCAAGUUGAACUCUGAUAACUCACAUGCAAAUUCAACUUAUUUGAAGUAGGUACAGAAAUAAGAAUUAUGUCAACACGAUAGGUUGCAAACCUUAAGUCGUGUGCUAGUGAUAAAUUACAGGUUUUACUCUUGAUUAAAUCUUGAAACUCUUUCAGGAUCUUUAAGGCUCCCACUGUCCCCUUGACAUAUAAGUUUCCCCAGUCAAGAACCAUUCCUUGACAAAACAAAUAUUCAAGGGAUAGUGCGGAUUCUUAUCAAGACUAACACUUCACACAAUUGGUCUUAGUUGGUCUUUGUCUCAUCCAAGACAUCACAACUUACCAAUCUCAAAUGUACAAGAGUAGAAAACAUUUUACUCUUACAUUUGACUAGUGUUAAUAAAUCUUCCUUUAUGUCACUCAAAGUUACAAUCUUGGAGUAUGACUCUAAGAAUUGUUUUGGAACGAAGUAUGACUCAUCUUCUUGAUUUUAACCAAUCCAACAAUUCAUGACCUCUCUUCUUAGCCAUAACAAUGCACUAAGACGUCCUUAGAGUAUGAAUUUGUGAUAUGGUUUCAUAAUCAUUAAGAUGAUCAUGAAAUACGAUACUAAAGUACUCUCCCAUCCUUUCAGAUUUGAGAAACUUUUAUCUUUCUGCCUAAUUUGAUUCUUCUCAUUUGUUUUGUCAUACAUUGUAACCUUUCCAAUGUUACAGAAUUAUACUUAACCUCAUAAGUAUAAUCAUAUUUACUAAUCUUUAGUAAAUCAUGACAAAUCAAUCUUUGUGGUGGACCUUGACCAGCGCACACCCAGUGUACCUAAUUCCUUAGUCCUUCAAUUGACUCACAUAUACAUGUGAUCAAAGAAUUAGUCUUAAUUUUCAAAGAUGAAAAUUCUCAUUCAUCAUACAAUACAACUUGUAUGAUUCCAAGUUUCUGUCCAAUUGAAACUUGGGUGAUGAAAAACUUUCUUCAUUUGGUAAAUUCAGACACUACCACAAAUGAAAGAAUCAAAUCCACUUUCCAAUAUUGCUAUUACUGGAAACAUAUAAGCAACAAUUUUCCACAGAUGCCAUUGUAAGGAUAUUUUUAAAAUAAAUAAAAUUAAAACCCUUUUUUUUUUUUUUUUUAAAACUUUGCGGAAAAACUUAUCCUUACAAUCCACAUGAAAACCUUGUUGUUAUCUAUUCAUAAGCAAUAUAUUAUAACUCUUAAGCAACAGCUCAAAAUUCUGAUUACCGAACCAUGCGAUCGAAACCCACCUUCGCAAUCAGAAUCAACAUAUACUUACUUUAAGCUUCCUAUCUUUUCUUUGAUUCUUAAAAACAUCAGCAUGUGACCCAUUCACAUUAUGUAAUAAGAAUCUCCAAAUAGGAACUUAAUAGAGUUAGACAGUGGACUUUACCCGAAGUAGAGUCAAACCUCUUGACUUGAUCAACCUUAUGACCUUUCAGGUGAAUAGGGCAGCUUCGCAACCAAUGCCCCUUCCUUUGGCAACAAAACACAUGGACCCUUUGGUAAUGGCACAUGAGACUAUCUCAGACUUAGCCUUUCUCUUUACCAUUUGGUCAACCGAGUUGACUAUGGCCGAUCCCUUUCCAUUGGGAAGAGAAAUCCUUUUCUAGAUAUCCAAUGCUACCAUUGUCAAUGUCCAUUUAAGACUUGGGAAGUUGUUCUUUUAAUCAAAUUUGCUUUACUGGUGUUCCAAAUCAUUGCUGAUUCCACAACACCAAGCAAAUAGAUAACAUCAUUAAGGGUCAUGUCAUAGUCUGUCUCAUAGUAGUCCCAAAGAGACUCACUAUGUUACUAAGAAAGUGAUUGAACAUCCAACUUUCACGAGACUUUGACACCCAACUCUCCCGGCUUGUCAAUAUGUGACUUUAUCUCCAAGAUGUGAGCACACAUAGACUAUGCUUGCCAAUAGGGAUUGAGUGACUUUAAACUUUUCAAGAACUUGUGGGUGAGGGAGAAUAAUUGGAGGAGGUGGAGGAAGUGAAGCAUGAUGUUGAGGGACACCAUCUUCAAGAGAUUUGGGAAGAUCAUAGUUGUCUGAACCAGACAUCUAUAAUGGGAGAAAAUCAAGUUAGUUGAUUCAAAGUCCUUAAUAUAACACCCAAUAUGAAAUAUUAAGGCUAGGACCCAACACAAUAUUUUAUAAUUUGGAAGAGGGAUGCCGUAAUCCAAGCUAUAAAAUAUUUGAAGGUAGGCGAAUGACGAUUCACCAAUUUCCACCAUGAAAAACGAAAUAAUUUAUUAGGUUUUAAUUGGAUUUGAAAUUCCUAGAUCUUUUGAGAUUCAUUGAACUUUUCAAUGGCAUGUUUCAAUCUCGAGUGUGCCCUCUCAAAUUUUGUGACUGGGAUGCCGAGGAUCACAAAACAAGGUGUGAAUAACCAUACCAAUUCACUUGGUACCCUUAAUAUUAUCACCUAAUCAAUGUGCCGGUUAACCACACACGCUCCAUUGAUCUAUGACAAACAUUAAGUCACCCUUCGUGAUCCUUACUAGUCCAAGUUAGUGUGCCGGUUAACCACACACGCUCCACCAACGACUUGGUAAGGUACAAAGUGUGAAUUCCAUGGGCUAGCACCAAAUUCACAUUUUUCCUAAAGUAACUAAGAUUGGGAAUUAAAUAAAAAAUUUUUAGUUACUUUAUAAUAAUCAUUAUACUUUUAAUGAGAAUUUAAAGUCAUUGUCCUACCCGUUCGGCUAACGACCCUCCACCGAUCAAGCAAGCGGUGGGUGAGAGUGGACACCCAUUAAGUCGCCAUUUUAUAGGCAACAACCUUAUACCCACCUUAUAGACCGGCUUCGUGAAUGAGGCCUACUAACGGUAAAACGACUUGUUCUUAUACAUAUAUAUAAUAAUUAACCAUUAAUGUUAUAAAUAGUAUAAGUGUUGAAUUUUAACUUUUAAAACUCUAAGUGUUGGAAUUAAAGUUUAUUAAAGUGUGUGAAACUUUUCAAAUUCCAAAACUUGAGGGCAAGUUUUGUAACUAUCCAAAACUUUUCAUUUCAUAACUUAUGAAUUAAAGGUUCAUAAAAAUGAAGACUCUUCAUUUUCAUGUAACUUAUGUGUUUAAAUGUGUGUGUUAAAGAAAAGUGACCUUUGGAUAUCCAUAACUUGAGGACAAAUUAUGGACUCCAUUAAAACACAUAAAUGAUCAAGAAUUAAUUCUAAACAAUUCAGCAAAUAAUUCCUAUCAUCUUCUAAAUUCAUAAGAACAUGAACAUGAUCAUCAAAAUUUCAAGAAUUAUAUGAACACAUAAAAAUCAUGGAAUUUUGAUAUAUGCUAUUGUAAAUGGAUUAGAACAACCAUUACACCAACUAAAACAAGUUUUAAAACACCAAAACAGUUUAGGGUAAUGUUUCUAGUCCAUUUCCAGCAGCAAAAGUCGAAAUUCUGCAUUCUGAUCAUUCUACUCGCCGAGUGCACGAACCUACUCGCCGAGUAGGAUGAAUUUUGCCUUGAACUCGGCGAGUCCCCCCAUGGACUCGGCGAGUCCAUCAGCCAGACAGCAACAAUUUCAACUUUUUUCACUAUUUUGCAUCAAGUAUCAAACAAGCAAGCCUAGGCUCUGAUACCACUGUUGGGUUUUGAGCAAUCUAACACUUCCUAAGUGUGCAUGCAACCCUAAUAAACCUUGGAUCUAUGUUUGUCUAAAUACAUGCAAAAUAAUAAUUUUUCCAAGGUUCAUAACCUAUCUAACAUGGCAUGGGGUACUUUUAAACAUAAAAGAAUUAGAUGAGAUUACAUACCUUUUGAUGAUGAGUUUGAUUCCUAAGGAGUUUGAGGGCCAAGCACCAAUAGUGUGAAUGCCUCAAAUGGAAUCACAAAUCACCACAAACUCAUAGAAAAAUUUGAGAGAGUGUAUACACACUUAUAAAGUCGGCCACACACUAACACACAUACUCUAGUAACACUAGUCACACUAGUAGGCAUUUCAUGCAACAUAAGCAUGCAUAUAUAGUGUACAUGGUUAGGGUGAAACCCUAAUAACCCAUGACUUUUCCUUUCCCAAGGAUCCAUGGGUUAAAAGCUCCAUGGAUCAUCCAUGGACUUCCAUAUAAGCCUAGCCCAUUAACUAAUGAGUAUUAGCCCACACCAUAUAAAACAAUAGCCCACAAUUUAAUUAGUCUUCCUUUUAAUCUCUAAAUUAAUUCAUAAUUAAUUUAAGACUAACACUAAUUAAAUAACUUCAUAUUAAUAUAUUAUAACUUACAAUAUAUUAAUAAACAUAUGUGUAUAACUCUCAUAAAAUUAUCCAUAAAUAGUUUGGAUGAAAUGCAACCCAAAUGGACCAUGUCGGGUCGGGUCAAGGAUGUACCAAAUAAGUUAUGGACUUAGACACCUUAUCCAACAGACAAACCCUCCCUCAACCCUGCUGUCGCUACAGAGGGUGAGGGGACAAUCUUCGAAUGUUCAUAGGGUAUACCUUUCGCUUCGACGAUGUCAUGAUAAUCCUGGUCACCCAGGGAUAACACUUACAUGGUUAUAUUUUUCCUAUUUACUUUAUUUUGUGAUAUAUUCACAUAAACGAUAAGUUAGACUAUGUACUUUUAGUACUAGUCAAUAGAAAGGAAAAGCUAUCAUUUUACUUACAGAACAUUUAAGUCUUGGUAGAAGACUAUCAUAUCAUUUUCCUAUUUUAUUUUAUCUUAUGAUAUAUUCACAUAAACGAUGAGUUAGACUAAGCACUUUUAGUACUAGUCAAUAGAAAGGAAAAGCUAUCAUUUUACUUACAGAACAUUUAAGUCUUGGUAGAAGACGAUCAUAUCAUUUUCCUAUUUUACUUUAUUUUGUGAUACAUAUACCUAUACAAAGAGUUUGACUAAGUACUUUUAGUACUAGUCAAUACAAAGGAAAAACUAUCAUUUUACUUACAAAACAUUCGGGUCUUGGUUGAAGACUACAUUAUCAUAACAAAACAUUCGGGUCUUGGUAGAAGACUACAUUAUCAUAAAAAAACAUUCGGGUCUUUGUAGUAGACUACAUUGUCAUAAGAAAACAUUCGGGUCUUGGUAGAAGACUACAUCUCAAACUAAUAGAAAAUUAGGGAUUUUCUAGGGCUUUUCAUACUUACAUCAACACUUCCAUUUAAAGGUUUACAUGAAUUUUAAAACAGCUUUUAGUAAGCAAGACAAUGACACUUAAAUACUUAUGAAUUCACCAGCUUUAAAGCUGAUACUCUCUUUCAAAAUAACUUGUAUUCUUAGGUCAUCGGUAGAUAGGUACGAUGGCCAGGAUUUGAGAAGAAGGAGCAGACAAGUCUCGUCUUUUAUUUUGAUUGUAUAUUUUUAGUGUCUUAUUACAAUGAAAGAACACACAUGUAUUAAAACUUUAAUUAUAAUGUAAUGGAUGAUCUUGUUGCUUGGUUACUAUUAUACACUGUUGUGAUACUGUACAUGACGUCCUCCACCCCUGAACGUUUCCGUCGUUCGUGGUUUUGGGGUGUGACAGAUUGGUAUCAGGGCAUUGUUUAUAGUGAACUAAGUAUAUCAACCCAUAAAAGAUAUACUAACUAUAAACACAUUGGGAUUAAAACACUAUGUCUAAGAGUUUAUACUUUUAAAUAAUAAAAUAUUUAACAAAGUAUACGUGCCUGCAUUCAUACUAAAAGCAGUGUCACAAUGACAAGAACAAAAGUAUUACGAUUGUUCAAUAUCACAGGUAAGCUCGGGGAUGUAUGGUCAGUCUUGGGAGUGGCAUAGCCUGAUCAACUAUGCUGUUCCAAAGAGUGAUUAGCACAUGCCCAAGAAUGGUUGUGAUAUGGCAACAAGUCUAAAAACUUACCAUCAUUACCACAACGAGAACAUUAUAACAGAACCUAAGUCGAAAAUACCAUAGGGGUGUUUUGUGGUACUAUAAGUACUUUAUACUUGAGAACUAAAAUGCAAUCUUCAUUCCUAAGUUGAUAAUUGCUAAGUGGAUACACUAAAGUUAUAUGUAACUAGGAUGUUAUAGACUUAGAAUAGGUGAAAUUUUUGCUUUACCCCUAUUCCUUGUGAAUUUGGAGUUGAGGUCACUAUUUGAAGGUCUAUCCUGUGUUGAUUACAUAUAACUGGUAUGCACUUUACAAAUAGCGAUGGAACUAAUGAAGAUUUCCUAAAUAAUUAUCUAGAUAGUUCGUCUAAUAAUUAUUUUCUUACCCCAAAUUCUCACGUAGAUAACAUGGCUGGAUUCCAUCCCCACGACAACCUGUUCCUUCCGAACACGGUUAUUGCUGGAUGGUUUGGAGAAGAAGCAGAUAAUGAUCAUCCAAUCCCUCUGAAUGAUCACCAUGUUGAAGACCUUUCAGACGAUGCCAUCUCCGAACCCGAGGUUGAGGACCUAUCCCAGGCAGCUCCCUUUCCAAUUCCUAACCCUCGUCUGACUUUUCAUGGCCCGACGCCUGAGUGGGUGGAAUGUUUGGAAACAUGGAGCCAAGGACAAGAUCAGCCCAUGCCAUUUAAUGGUGACCGAAGCUUCUAUGACCUGAGCAAUGGGGGCUCAGCAGACAAAAUCAUGCCAAUUCUGAUCCGAAGAGUUUCCCGAACGAAAUUCAGGGCAGGACAGCUCUGCAACGUAUCGCAAAAGUUGAUACAAAUGGAGGAAUGCAUAUGCUUCGCACCAGUCGCCUUGAACAUGCUCGUGAGAGGUCCGAGAGAGACCAUGAAACCUUGCUACAAGCACUGGCUGAAUCACAAGCCGAAGUCAUGGAACUUCGGGUAUGCCAAAGAGUGUACGAAAGACACCUACUUGAUGUCGAACGCCAACUGGCUGAACUGAGAGUUCACCAGAGGGAUGACCGUCGCUAGUAGUAGAUACUUUACUUUAUUUUUCCUUGUUAGAAAGGAAUCGUCUUUCUGUCUAUGCUCGAUGUGGUAUUUUCUAUGAAACUAUCUUGUACUGUAAGUACUUUAGUUAGGCCCUUUAUGCUGUCAAGAACUAUCUUCUCUGGAUAUGAUGUAAGACCUUUUACAAGGUCAUUUUCCCGAACCUGUAGCUCAUGAAUAUCAAAGAUAUUGACAGCUGGCUAACUUUUGAGUCAUUCUUUAUUCAAAUACUCUUAUCAUACUUUUAUUAGAGUCUAUUUGAAACAUGCUCUAGUCAAGUCAUUGGACUAUAGCAAUUUAACUCCGGAGACAUCUCCGAGUCUCUUUUAAUGGUUGGAUCAUGUUGUUCGCCAACCAACGAUACCUCGGCUAGAACGACAAACAUCUUGAGACCAUUGUAAGAACUUACUUCCGAUCUUUGCUAGGACUGCAUCAUAGGGAUGUAGGUCAAACCUUCGUGUACAUAUUUCCAUUCGUGCUAGGACUGCAUCAGAGGGAUGUAGGUCGAACCUUAGAAAACAUACUUCUAUUCUUUUCAUGAGCGAUCAAACUACGUCUAGGUUCAACCAUUUUUGCUCACAAAUUCAUUUCCUUCCAUGUAACAGAAUCAUGUCAUCCAAGAAAGAUGAUCAGCCCAUCAACCAAACACUAACUCUUCAGAUUGAUACAACUACCUUUCAAACUGCAGUCUCGGCUGCCGUGUCAGCUUUUCUGACCCACAUGAACGCUAACAACGCAAGUGUUAGCGGGUUUGUUAAUGACAAUUCCAACCUAAGUAACAAUCCAGUACCCCAACAAGCAACAAAUUACCACGAUACCCCGAGUCCUAAGACGAAGAGUAUCAAACGAAAGUCUUGGACUAACUCUAAGUACAAGUCGCUUCGAAGGGCGAACAUGAAACAACCACCAGUAACAACCUUCACAGCUACGACAUCAAUACCUCCUACUACCAUCCCUUCGGGCGUCCCAAUAGUCCCCAAAACCAGCCAAAAUUUAUGUUGGAAGUCUCUCAAAAUGCAUUAAAUGUAGUUUUCACCACCAUGGACCUUGUAGGGAGAAGCAGUGCUCACACUGCAACAGGAAGGGGCAUACAGCCCGUUUCUGCAGGAUGCCAACAGAUCAGGACGCUCAAGUGCCAAACACCAGUGGGAACCAGGUUUGCUACAGUUGUGGUAAAGUAGGUCACUACAAAAGGAACUACCCGGGGGCAGCAAUUGCUGGCACAGACGAAAGUCUACUACCAACCACCGCCGCAGGAGAGUCUACUUCGGACCCACGUUAAUGUAAUUUAGGCGUUUCGUUGUAACAGACUUAUGAACCAUCCCAAAACUAGUUCAACCAGAGUCUUAUCUUUUGCAGGAUCCCGUCCGUUUAGGGAUGCUCAUGCUGCGUGUACUUGUCUUUUGUUGUAUACCUUGUUCGCAGCAAUAGUCUUGUAGUAAAUCUAAAAGUACAGUAACUCUGUUAAAAGUUGCACUAUUAUGUUUUGGUCUGUAACGCCUUAUGUUCAAAUCUAAUGUCUUUAGUUUCCAUAUGUUUCUGACUUUAUCAUACAACUCGAGUAAAUUUGAUCCUCGCAAUACCAGCUUCAUAAGUACAUCUCUUUCUCAGAAAUCGUCUUUUAGAAAAGUCGUUAAAUCAGAACACCGAAGUACUCAUACAAGGAGUACCUUAUAGUUCUUUUCCUUUCCGAAGGAAUCCCCACAUUAUUGCUCGUGCAGUACGUCAAGUUCAAUUCCAGGAUGAAUACGGUUGAUCUACCACUGAGGAAUGUAUACAUGAGAGUGGUAUAUAAUCAAUGUUCUACAGGUUUUGAAUUGAUGAUUCCACUUUAACUUCUUUUCCCUCGAUGGGAUGUGAGAUUAAGGAAGAAUCAGUUAUUCGACUACCUUUUCAGUCUUAAUUAUAUACAACUCGUAUACGCGAAAUUGUGAUCAUUGAAUCUCGUAUGAAUUCUAAUAUGAACUUCAUGAUGGAGACUGUCCAGGAGUACGAGUAAUUGCAUUGGCAUAGGGACAAACUUAGAACCCAGUAUGACUCUUAUAACCAGAUCGCCUUCAGUUGAAACACCUACGGAAGAUACAAGAAACAGCCCAGACAACACAAUGAACUACUCAACAAUAGAAUUAGGAGACCAGGCUUCUCACCCUUGAGAGCUCCGGUCNUGAGAGCUCCGGUCUUAUUAUUACUAGAAGUCGACGGAGUGCAUCUUAUGUACUUUGACGACCGGGGACUUCAUUAAGAUUUCCUUUAGAAACCGUUGUCUCUUCCUCGCAUAGAUGAGUUGAUAAAGCAACCACAGGGAGAUUGUUACUUUCAGAAAUGGACCUGAGAUCCGAAUAUCACCAGUUCGAGUGUUAGGGAAGGAUGUCCUAAAGACUACCCUCCGAACUCGAUGCAGACCCUUCGAGUCCGUAGUGAUACCCCUUGGAUAGGACCAAUACGCCCAUAGUAUUCAUGAGCUAAAUGAGUAGAGUACGCCUUUCUUACUGGGAUCAGUUCGUCAUUUCUCCAUGUAAUGACUACUUAUCUACCCUCGUAGUAAGAAAGAACCCAUAGGAACAUUACCCUCGGAGAUACUUUCCGCAAAGUUCUCUAAACAAGAUUUUUGGAAUUUAGAGUCAAAUUUCCUGAGAUACACUUUUAGUGUUAUGGAAAUUCUUGAGUACUCUGUCAAAUUAUCCAAAGUCGUUGGGAAUUUGUCGGCACCGUAGUCACCGAUGGAAAAUUCGCCAAAUUCUAGGUCUUACAGACCUACUAUCAUAGUCCAUUCGGGACUCCCCACAAAUUUCAGAAACCCUUUCGACUUUGACCCAGCAAGGGAUGGCCCUUGACUGGGCAGUAAGCGAGAGAAAGAACCUUUGGAAUUCCAAGUGAGAGACCAAAUUCUUUAGGAAACCUCAGUUAGGGAAAGGUUUAAUACGCUUCGUAAAGUGUGGAAAGCUAAAAUCCAAUAUAGUUAGGACCUCCGAGAUUCUAACCAGAAUCGGUCCUGCAUUUCACAAACUAGACCUACUCCGCCAACUUAGUAACGUACGUUUUCCCCUUCGCGUCUCGAACUUGAAACAGUAUCUUUCCGUUAGGAAUUUCGUAAGCCCUCUCAACGAGAUCGAGAUUUACGAGAUCCUUGCCUUCGUAUUAGAACCAUAGUGACCCUCGACCGAGUGGUCAAGCGGACAAAGCAACGCCGCCGCCCAUUAGAGAAGGUUAGUUGGGAUACCAACCGAGAACCCGAUUUCACUUGGGAACGCGAGAACCAAUCUAUUAGGAAGUUUUCACCUAACGACUCGAUCAUUUAUACCUACUUCCUUAUCUAAAUUCUAAUUUCGGGAUGAAAUUCUCUUUAACAGGGGGAUGAUGUGACAACCCAAAAUUUCCUUUCUAAACAAACUAUAUCAAGCCAAUAGAGCUUAGAACAGUUUCAGUGAAAUUCCACACUUCGGGUAUAAGUUUGGCAGUUUUCAGGAUUUACAAUUAAGGAGAUAUCAGGAGAGUGGUUGCACUAGGGUUUUGUGCAACACUGUUAUUCCAACACUCUGUUAUAUUAGAAAUCAUUUCAGGAAUAAAAAUAUUUUCUGCCAAAAAUAUCUCAGGACUAUAAAUAGAAUUCUGAACCAAAUUCAUUCAUUAUUCGCAUUUCCAACUAGAGAAAAGCCAUUUUCUCUCUCACGGAUCUUCGGGUUUUUAUCCCAAAUCGUGCGUAAACUUCUCUAGUUGUCUUAUAAUGCUUAUUAUCUGCUUAAUAACUUAGAUUACAUAUCNUUGGAAUAGUGUCUAAGGCUGCAACUAUAUUAGGCAAGUAUUUGACCCGAUUGUGCAUGGUCCUUUUGGGUUGCCUUCACCAUAGCAACUUGAUAGGAUGAUUUAUUAUGAGAAAAUAAAUAUUAUUAAUAUAUUAUGAGAGUAAUAUAAGGAAUAAUAAUAUUGUUAUUUAAUUAAUAUAAGUCAUAGAUUAAUUAGUAUUAAUUUGGUGACUUAAAGAGAUUAAUUAAAUAAGAGGGUAUAAACUGUCAAUUGUUUGAUAGUUACA